rnacentral:rRNA from 1 species
UGGGGAAUAUUGGACAAUGGGCGAAAGCCUGAUCCAGCCAUGCCGCGUGUGUGAAGUAGGUCUUCGGAUUGUAAAGCACUUUAAGUUGGGAGGAAGGGCAUUAACCUAAUACGUUAGUGUUUUGACGUUACCGACAGAAUAAGCACCGGCUAACUCUGUGCCAGCAGCCGCGGUAAUACAGAGGGUGCAAGCGUUAAUCGGAAUUACUGGGCGUAAAGCGCGCGUAGGUGGUUUGUUAAGUUGGAUGUGAAAUCCCCGGGCUCAACCUGGGAACUGCAUUCAAAACUGACUGACUAGAGUAUGGUAGAGGGUGGUGGAAUUUCCUGUGUAGCGGUGAAAUGCGUAGAUAUAGGAAGGAACACCAGUGGCGAAGGCGACCACCUGGACUAAUACUGACACUGAGGUGCGAAAGCGUGGGGAGCAAACA